AGAUCCGGGGGCAGCAGCGACCGAUCUGGCUGCUGGUGCGGCGGCUUGCUCCGGCGGCGGCGGCGUCCUGCUCAUUCAUAGAAAGAGAGACAGGGCGUGAUGGAGAGAGGAGGAAAGGAGAAGGAGCAGGGGGCGCAAGGUCAGGGAGGCUGUCGCUAGCGGUGGCGGCUCCGGCGACCGGCCGGUGGGCUUCCAGGCAAGGCUAAGGAGUACGCUAGCCUGAGAUUCAAUAGAGACACGGUGAUUCUGGUCGGAGCCGUGGCUACGUGAUUCUGGCCGGCGUGCAUCCAUAGUCAGAGGACGCCGAGCCUUCCUCGUUGCAAGCAACAUCAGCUCGUCUCGGCAUGAGAUAAUUUGCUUCAGUUCAUCGAACUACCUGCUGAAACAUGUGUAUUGUUUCUCAAUAUAUUGGGCAUCAAUCCACCUCUCAUGAGAUCUCUGAAUUUUCGACGUAUAUUGUAUUUGCUGAAUUAUUUCCUCCAGAUAACUAUGCUUGGAUUCACAAAUGCGUGCAAUGCUUUCAAGUAUAGGUUAGUUCAAUACUUAAGUUGUGCUAUUCCACUUUGAAGGUUUUGGUCCUAGAAGUGUAAUAC